AGAGUUGUAUCCUGGCUCAGGAUGAACGCUAGCGGCAGGCCUAAUACAUGCAAGUCGAACGGUGAUAGCAAUAUCAUAGUGGCGCACGGGUGCGUAACACGUAUGCAACCUACCUAUUAUUGGGGGAUAGCCUUUGGAAACGGAGAUUAAUACCGCAUAAUACGAUUGACUGGCAUCGGUUGAUUGUUAAAGCUUUGGCGAUAAUAGAUGGGCAUGCGUCCAAUUAGUUAGUUGGUUAGGUAACGGCUGACCAAGACGAUGAUUGGUAGGGGAUCUGAGAGGAUAAUCCCCCACACUGGCACUGAGAUACGGGCCAGACUCCUACGGGAGGCAGCAGUAGGGAAUAUUGGGCAAUGGGCGGAAGCCUGACCCAGCCAUGCCGCGUGCAGGAAGAAGGCGUUAUGCGUUGUAAACUGCUUUUUUAUAGGAAGAAGGAUCCCUUGCGAGGGAAGGUGACGGUACUAUAAGAAUAAGCACCGGCUAACUCCGUGCCAGCAGCUGCGGUAAUACGGAGGGUGCAAGCGUUGUCCGGAUUUAUUGGGUUUAAAGGGUGCGUAGGCGGUUUAUUAAGUCAGUGGUGAAAGACGGUCGCUCAACGAUUGCAGUGCCAUUGAUACUGGUAGACUUGAGUGAGAUUGAGGUAGCUGGAAUGGAUAGUGUAGCGGUGAAAUGCAUAGAUAUUAUCCAGAACACCGAUUGCGAAGGCAGGUUAC
rnacentral:rRNA from 1 species